rnacentral:rRNA from 1 species
UAACAAGGUUUCCGUAGGUGAACCUGCGGAAGGAUCAUUAACGAAGUUUAAUAAGUCUUUAUUAUAAACGGUUCUGAAUAAGAGCUUUGUUUGUAUUAAAGUUCUUAUACUUUAAUCCAUUUACACCUGUGAAAUUAUAUUUUUGACUUUUUUGCUUUGGUUGGAUGUAAUAGUCUAGCCAAAGGAAUUUAUAAACUCCAAUUUUUUUAUACUAAUCUUUGUCUGAAUAAUUUUUAAACUAAAAAUUUAAAACUUUCAACAACGGAUCUCUUGGUUCUCGCAUCGAUGAAGAACGCAGCGAAACGCGAUAUGUAAUGUGAAUUGCAGAAUUUUGUGAAUCAUCGAAUCUUUGAACGCACAUUGCGCCCUCUGGUAUUCCGGAGGGCAUACCUGUUUGAGCGUCAUUUCUUUCUCAAAACUGUAUGGUUUUGGUAUUGAUCAAUUAGUACGAUAGUAUUAUUGAUUGAAAGAAAUUGGCAAAGGCAGUUAAAUCUAAGUCUUAACAACGUAUUAGGUUUUACCAACUCGUUGGCUUUGAGCUUUGUUUAACAAUUCGCCUGGCGAUAUAACAAAUUUUUAUUUUUAAAAAUUUGACCUCAAAUCAGGCAAGACUACCCGCUGAACUUAAGCAUAUC